rnacentral:rRNA from 1 species
AGUGAACGCUGGCGGUAGGCCUAACACAUGCAAGUCGAACGGCAGCACAGUAAGAGCUUGCUCUUACGGGUGGCGAGUGGCGGACGGGUGAGGAAUACAUCGGAAUCUACUUUUUCGUGGGGGGUAACGUAGGGAAACUUACGCUAAUACCGCAUACGACCUACGGGUGAAAGCAGGGGAUCUUCGGACCUUGCGCGAUUGGAUGAGCCGAUGUCGGAUUAGCUAGUUGGCGGGGUAAAGGCCCACCAAGGCGACGAUCCGUAGCUGGUCUGAGAGGAUGAUCAGCCACACUGGAACUGAGACACGGUCCAGACUCCUACGGGAGGCAGCAGUGGGGAAUAUUGGACAAUGGGCGCAAGCCUGAUCCAGCCAUACCGCGUGGGUGAAGAAGGCCUUCGGGUUGUAAAGCCCUUUUGUUGGGAAAGAAAAGCAGCAGGUUAAUACCCCGCUGUUCUGACGGUACCCAAAGAAUAAGCACCGGCUAACUUCGUG